GGAUCUUCGAUCAUAGGGUCGGCGGCGGCCGCGGCGUCGAAGUUGAUGUGUCGGGGCUGUUGGUGCUGGAGGCAGUUUUUGCUGUCGAGAGAGGAAGCGACGGCCUGGGACUUGGCCUUUUUCAUGGUCGGAAAGUGACUGCCGGCGGAGGUAGUAGUGGUGGUGGUGUGGCGGAGCGCUUGUUGUUGAUGUUAUAGUUAGGUUGAGACAUGGAAAGCAAUCAAGAGGUCAUUGUAAAAGAGAAGCAGAAGACGAAGAAGAAGAAGAAGAAGAAGAA
rnacentral:lncRNA from 1 species